UGGGUGAUAAUCUGGUAACGGAUUUAUUUUUAAGGAAACCUCUGGUAGGCGUUACUCAAUAGAAUCAUUGGUUGAUAAUCAACCUUGUGGACUCAUUCAAUCACGAUCUAAUAUUGAUGUUGAUGAUGUCACGUUUUUUCAAGAUGGAUCAGGUCGUGUUCUGCAAUAUGGUGGGAGCACUGUACUUAUACAUAAGCUUGAUUUAUUAUCCAGG